AGAAUCAACGCUGGCGGCGUGCCUAACACAUGCAAGUCGAACGAGAAAGUGGAGCAAUCCAUGAGUAAAGUGGCGACCGGGUGAGUAACACGUGACUAACCUACCUUCGAGUGGGGGAUAACAUCGGGAAACCGAUGCUAAUACCGCAUAACAUCGCAAGAUCAAAGCAGCAAUGCGCUUGAAGAGGGGGUCGCGGCUGAUUAGCUAGUUGGCGGGGUAAUGGCCCACAAGGCGAAGAUCGGUA
rnacentral:rRNA from 1 species